CCAUUUGACGAUAGCGCAAGCGCAGCGCUAUAUUCGCCCACAACUUCAGUUCGGUCAACUUCGUCUUCGUCAUUUAGUGGUGACCGAAACUUCGAUGUGUGUGGUAGUGAAGUUAACUUUUCUAACGUAGUAUUCUCACAAAAUAACAAUAACCAAUUACUAAAGUACAAUUUCGUAUUGAACGUGUUUAUAUAAACAUUUAACGUGCCUUUAGUUGAAUAAAUAGUAAUCAAAAUGUGUGAUAAUACCAAUCCUUCGACACAAAGUAUAGCGGACUACUUAGCUCAGUUGCUCAAAGACAGGAAGCAACUGGCUGCGUUCCCGAAUGUUUUCAUGCACAUGGAGCGACUUCUGGAUGAAGAAAUAGCAAAAGUACGAGCAAGCUUAUUCCAAAUAAAUGGAGUCAAGAAGGAACCACUUGUUCUCCCAGAGCCAGAGGGCAUGGUCACCACACUGACAGAAAAAGUAUAUGUACCAGUAAAAGAACAUCCAGAUUUCAACUUUGUGGGAAGGAUUCUCGGACCAAGAGGUAUGACUGCAAAACAGCUAGAACAGGAAACUGGAUGUAAAAUUAUGGUCAGGGGCAAAGGCUCAAUGCGGGAUAAGAAGAAGGAGGAUGCGAACAGGGGUAAGCCGAAUUGGGAGCAUCUCGCUGACGAUUUGCACGUACUGCUCACAGUCGAAGACACAGAGAACAGAGCAAAGAUAAAGUUGGCCAGAGCUGUUGAUGAGGUUAAACGCCUGUUGGUUCCUCAAGCGGACGGUGAAGACGAACUGAAGAAACGUCAGUUAAUGGAAUUGGCCAUUAUAAAUGGCACGUACCGUGACUCGAGCACGAAAGCCGUCGUGCCCGUCAACGGUCAGUGCUUAAUAAGUGAAUCCACAGCCGAUGAAGAAUGGCGACGUGUAGCCGCAGAAACCCAGCGGUUAUUGGCGCCAACUGGCGGAGUGGGUGGCGUGGGCAGUGUUGCUCUUCGCACAUCAGCGCCUUUGGGAGCUCCAUUGAUACUGUCUCCACGCAUACCGACAGCACCUGGUGGGCAAGCUGGGUUGCUUAAUGGUACAGGCGCUGGUGCUGCCGCUGGUCUUCUGUCUCCCGGGGAACCGUCUCACCAGUUGAUCUACGCGUCACCAUAUGCUGACUACGCUAACUACGCAGCCCUGACAGCGGCUGCCAAUCCGCUGCUGACAGCGGAGUACGCCGCCGCCGACCAUACGGCGUCGAGAUAUCUACUUGCUGGCUUUUGACAUUGGCCACAAUUGCAGACCGCAAUAAGAUACGACAGGCUUCCAACUUCAUCGUUACGGUCAUCGCAACAUUUUUAGGACCUGGCAAAUUGCAGUCAAAUAUCUUACCAUAGACUAUCAAAUCGACUUUAGUUCUACUGCCUGUUUAAAUUACCAUAGAUAAGUCUGGGUGUGGUAUUUCGAUAUGCGUGUCCGCAAGACCUAACCGUCCUUGACAAAUUGUUUUUUUAAACGCCUCUUCUAAAGUCAUAAGAGCCAUUAACAAGUUAGAUUUAAGUUUUACUUUAAGAACGAUUUUAUUUAGUGACUCGAUCAUAUUGUACCUACGUUAUGUUUUUAAUUUAAAAACCAACUUUGUUUUUUCUUUAGCCGUUUUGUACAGUCAUACAAAGUAUAUUUUAUAUCUCAACAAACAAAGAAUAUUAUUUAUUUAUUAUAAAGCAUUAUAAAUUAUUUACACGAAGUAAUAUAAAUGAUAUAUUUAUUUUAAAGUUUUCAUAACAGUGUUUGAAGGCAGUUGAUUUGAAUAAAUAUUGUAGUUGAAUAAUUCUGAAACUGCCAAUAGAACUUAUAAGUUACCGAUUUUCGAUAUACAAAGACAUAGAACUUUAUAUACAUUAUAUUAUUAUACCAUAUGUAUAGUCGCAUUGAUUAAAAAACACUUAAUUUUCUAAAGUUUUUGUGAUAACCCUCGCUUGUAAUACAACUAAUCAAAUAACAUUUUGUUAAUUUUUAUUCGCACAUAGUACCGGCUUUAUUGCGAGGUAUCACAAUUAAAGAAAAUAUACUUCCUUGUGAGACAUUGUAAGAUUACUUUAUAAAUGAACACAAAAUAUAACAUCUAGUUCAUAAAGCUUUAAAACACCAGAAUUGGCAUAAAAAUACUUGCAAAAGCCGGUUCUUUUCAUAAUAUACUUUAGAUACCUAUUAAUAACAUUGGUGACAUAUCUUGCAUGUCAUACAUUUGAUCCUUAUUAGAUUUCCCGAAUGUGAUUAACAUGACUUUUUUUUCUUUUUUUUUUAUUAACUGUAAAAAUCUCUGAAUGGCGAAAUAAUUAUUAAUAAUUCAGUGAUUACAAGCAAAGGGACCAAAUACAAAUUGAAUAUUUAUUACAAGCAACACAAUCGUAAUAUAUUUAACUAUUAACCACACUGAUUACUAAAAAUCCCAUAAACAUUCAAUUUUAGACAUUGACGAACAACAUUCUAGACAAUUAUAAAUUUUCAACAUUACAAUGAUAACACAACAUUUUAUAUUUAGAAUUAUAAUGUUAUGUUAUUGUUGUAGCAAUGUCAUAAUUUAUUAAUUUAUUAGCCAUAUUAUUAUAUUUAUAAACAUACCAUAGGUUUAAGUAUUAUUUUUUAUCUUUUAAAGAUUUUUUAGUUAGUUUAGAAAAGAGUGAGCUUUAUGAAAAAUCAAUCAGCCGUAACCUACAGUAAUAUUAUAUAGGUCAUUAUUCUCUAUUCUUGUAGCCGAGUCAGAUUAUUAUUUAAAAUGUUCUUAUAUUAUUAAUUUCUGUACGAUACGAUCAAAUGAGAUUGAAAAUUUUAUUUUUUAUUUCCAAAGCAAUAAUUAUAGAUAAAAUUUAGGCGUAUAUAAGCAUAAUACUUGAAGUUAGUGAUACUGCCAAGCUUCUUUAAUAUAUAUGUAAAACAUUUCAAACGCUACGAACAUUUGGUAGUUGUUAUUAUUUACAGAUUACAAAUUAAGAAUUGUAUGAAAGGAAUGCCGUUAAAUUAAUGAGAUUAAUUUCUUUUCAGCAUUUAUAUAUUUAGUUUUUUACAGGCAACCUAGGCACUUCAAAAAAAACAGUUUAAAUAUCUGAAAUCAUAUUUUUCAUUCCAUGAUAAUGAUUAUAAUAAAAGUAUAAUAUUUUUAAUUAUAUUCGUCUUGUACAUGAACAUCACAUUUAAAGUGAAUAUUUUUUGUAAAAUUUACGUAAAGCCUGGGUGCCGCUCAACGGUUAUUGGUUGAAACUUCAUAAUGCUCUGUUCAGACACAGAUAAUAAAUAUCCUAUGCCGCUAGGUAUCGUGCGGAGGGCGGGACGGCUGACGCAGGUGAGGGAGCACCCUUACCAGCGCACUGCCUUACCGGCGCCUUAAUUCCCGCCAAAACGCUCUCACGCCGCCAUUUUGUUAACAAGGUGAGUGCUAAUGGCGCCGAGGCAUUAACAGAAGAAACGGUCGCCUGCCCGCACAGGACCCUAUGUCGCCGCGUAACAUAUUCAUCGGAACAUCGACCACCAUGUAGCUAUAGCUGUUGGGCCUUUCACGUUAACAUGUAAUAUGUAUUUUAAUAGUCUAACUAUUAACAUUUAUAUGCCUGUUAUGUUUAUAACAAGAUGAACUUUAUUAACAAUUUAUAUUAUAUUUCUUUUUGAAGUGGCACACGCCAUCGACUAUAUUUACUGUAUUGUAACAUUGUACUUCUGUUGUCGCUUGACCGUAUUGUUGUUGGAGCACGAGUGUUGUUAGGUUACCCUAUCUACCGCGGCGCUAAAUUUGUUUAAUAAAUUUUUAGUAUUUAGUUAUUUAUUAGAUCUAGUUAUAUAUUAUAUUCUCGAAAUAUAGAAAGUAUCGUUUUGUUGAGCAGAAAAUUUGGCGCCGUCGAAAUAUUAUUAUGAUGGUUUAGAAAUUAUUUUUAAACCGUUUCAAUUUAGAUGAUUUAAAGUUUUAGAAGUGUGGUUCAAUGUAGUUGACGUAAAACUGGAAUCAAAUUUAGUUAAACUGUCUGCUAUUUGAAUGCAUGUUUAUUUAUACAGAAACAUGAAUAAGAUUUUUAUAUUUUAACUUCUACAAUUUUUUAAAUGAUUUAUGUGUUAAGUAUAGUACAAAUUACAUAAAUAUUCGGAUUCGGGAGAUGAGAAGAAACAUCGCUUCUCCAGAUAACAAACAAGAGGCAGGGUAGAGGUAACUGGAUGUAAGUAUAAGUGUAUUAGGUAUUAAUCUGCAAAAUUAUAGUUUAGCACGUUUUCAUUGGACUGAUAAUCGAAUAUUAUAUUUAUGUAUUUCAUUUACUUAUUGACUCUAAAACCGCUUUGGGAAUCCCUUAUUAAACUUGAACCAAAGAAUAUUUUUAAAAAUUGGUCAUUGGAAAUUUUGAUACGUUUUAAUAUUUGAACAAAAUUCAAGAUGUCUUCCUUCAUAAACGAUAUCGGUCGAUGAGUAAAUGAAUUCGUAUUCGUGAUUAGUUCUUUUUUUAAAUAAUUAUAUUUUAUAAUCUGUAGUGCUUGAUAUUUAUACAUAACAAAUCGUAUAUUGCACAUCCCAAGUGCCUUAAUAAUUAAUGUACAAUGUUUUCAUUUUUGUGGUUCUAUAAAACUGUUAUAUUGAUUAUUUAAUAAUAAAGUAAAGUUAGAAGAGAUUAAAUUAUUGUUAACUUUGCUUAAUGUUAAUGUUUAUACUUUGUCUUGAAUCAUUUUAGGCAAUUAGUUGUAUUUUUGUAUAUGUAGUUGUUUCUCAAGACUAUAUGUCUCGUGAAACAUAUUAUAAAUCAUUACAUUAAAGCCUUCGUUGCAAUCUCCUGUAAGAAUCUCCUGAUAAUAAUUAUUAUCUCUAUCAGAAUAUCACAGAUCAAUCUUUUUAGCGUGUUUGGUGUCUUAAUAAUACAGUAAAUAUUACUCGAAAAUUUAAAAUGUUUAAGCAAUCGCAACUGGGGCAAUUAUAUUCAUAUAGUUAAUUGUUAUGUACAUAGAGCUAUGUAUUGUUAAAAGCAAUAAUAUUUCAAUAAUUUACUAUAUUAAUGCUAGUGCAAUAGAUGUUAUUUCAAAUUAAUAUUUUAUAGAAAAUUCUCAUUAUUUGAGCAAUUAUCAAAAGUAAGAGAGAUCUGAUGUUGAGAUUAACAAAAUACUAUAGUAAAAUUUAAUCACAUGUUACAAUUGAGAACGAAAAUUUAUACCUUAAAUUUUAUUUAGAAAUAAGAAUAAAUAUAAAAUAUAACUUUUCACGGGAAAAAAAUUAUAAAAAAAAAAUCGUUGUCUUUAAGUGCCUUAUUUGAAUCUUUAGAAUAUUGUCAAAUUGCAUUGAAAUAUAAAAUAAUUGUAUCAAAAUAUCGACAAGAGUAUGUUAAUUUUUUUAGGAAAACAUAAAAUUUUUAUUAGCCAUUUAUUCGAAUUGUAUAAUCCUUGAAGUCGUUAACACACUCCGUCCAUGAUUACUUCAUUAUUUAAGUACUUAAUAUGUUGGUCACUCACUCGUAUAAAUGACCAUAAAUAUCGCUGUGUAAUUUAUACAUUAUGCAAUGUAUACAUCUGUGUUAACAUCUGAAUCUUAUUAACGCCUUUCGUAAAGUUUUUUUUUUUAAAUUGAAUCUGUAAAUUAAAAUUCCCUAGAUAUUAUCUGUACCUCAUACAAUCGUUAUUUUGCAAUAGAAACCAUAUUAUAUCUAAGUUUUUAAAACUUAUUUGUUGCGACAAUUGCUGUGUUAUUUUUUUAUGCGGUGCUAUAAACUGCAUCAUCAUAAAUUUCUGGCAACAUCUUAGAUCAGAAAAGAAAAAUCACUUAAAUAGAAUUAUGUUUGAAUCGAGUUUUAACAUUAUAUAAUAUAUUUUAACAUUAAACCUUUAACACCCAUUAUUUUAAAUCGAGUGUAAGUUAAACCAUAAUAAUUUCUGUAGCAUUUGGCUGUACCUACAACUACGGUACAAAAAAUAGCAUUUAAAAAAAAAUAAUCAGAUGCCAUACAGUUUUCUCAUGAAAAAUUGAACAUCUAUAUAAUAUCAAUAUAAUAUCGUGAUUAAUAAAAGUAAACGUACAAAGUUUUUGAAAGUCUGUGUAUAGUUAUUUUACAAUGUUUCACACGAUUUAUUGUUCCUUGAAACAUUUUUUGUGCCAUCAUCAGACGGACUUUCGUGUUUUUUUUUUAAUUAUAUUUGUACUUAUACCUACAAUGGCAAAUCACAAAUGUGCCUUAAAAUGAACUUUGUAAAUAAAUAUAUACUAUAAUUUCAAUGAAGUAUUAAAGGAGAAUAAAUUCUUACAAUUGUUUUCCAAAAACAAAAUAGAGUAUAUCUACUUUUAUAGCUUAGUUAAGUGAGAUUGUGCAUAUUACUUAUGUCUGUUUUGAUGUGUGUUUAAGAUUGAUUUGGCAUUAGUAAAUAUAUUAUUUGGAAAAAAUCAA